UGUCGUCAGCUCGUGUCGUGAGGAUGUUGGGUUAAGUCCCGCAACGAGCGCAACCCCUAUCUUUAGUUGCCAUCAUUGAGUUGGGCACUCUAAAGAGACUGCCGGUGUCAAACCGGAGGAAGGUGGGGAUGACGUCAAGUCCUCAUGGCCUUUAUGACCAGGGCUACACACACGCUACAAUGGUCUGUACAAUUGGUUGCCAAGCCGCGAGGCGGAGCCAAUCCGUAAAGCAGGCCUCAGUUCAGAUUGCAGUCUGCAACUCGACUGCAUGAAGCCGGAGUUGCUAGUAACCGCAGGUCAGCAAUACUGCGGUGAAUACGUUCCCGGGUCUU
rnacentral:rRNA from 1 species